CCGUGGUAGAAGCGGGAGCGGAGGUCGGCGGGCAGGAAGGUGGGAACGCAGCGGAAGCCCUCGAGGAGGUCGUGCGCGACCUGGUCGUGCUCGGCUGGGGGCACGUCGUCGCGGAGGCCGCCGACGUAGACGAACUCCACGUCCGCGCGGCCGUGGUGCGCGCGGAGGCUGUCCUUGACCUGCAGGAGGAGGCUGUCCUGGUCCCACGCGAAGUCCCACCCGCCGCCGCCGGCGCCGGCGGCGGCGCGGCGGGAGGCGCGGACGGGGAGCUGGUUGGCGACGAUGAUGACGCGCUCCCGCGGCGCGUGGGAGGACUGGUCGGCGGCGGAGGCGGCGUCGGAGACGUCGAGGUCCGGCACAAUGCCGGAGGCCGUCACGACGCGCGGUAUCCGGCGGCGCCCCAGCGACGGCAGCGGCUCGCCGCCGCUGCCGCCGGCGGCGAGCUCCAGGAGGUUCGAGUAGGAUCUGGACACCAUGCCCGCACGGGCGACGUCACAGCGAGCUGCCUGCCGCUGAACCUCCAAACAAGGAUUCGAUCUUUCACCGCUCGCCCUCCAAACCAAGAUCCGGCGAACAGUACUCUGGAGAGGGUCUCAAGAAAAAGCUUCGCAGGCAGCUUAAGAAUGAACGGCCGGCGGAGAUGGAAGAGGAUCUGCUGUCCACCAGUCUCCGGCGGCGAAGAGAUAAAUCUCGGCAAGGGAAUCGAAUCCGCAGAGCAACUAGUAACAAUCAGAAAACCGAAAAGGCUGCCCUCCCUCCCUCCCUCCCUUUCCGGAAAAAAAAACCCACAAGCAGCUUUCGGCCGAAAUCAAUCCGGACGACCGAGCAACGACGUCUCAGGUGCUCCAGCUGGGACGGCCACUACCACUACCACACCUCGACAGACCGGCGGCAGGGGGGAGACAGAGUCUCGCGCGCUCGCCGACGACGACGACCCGGUCCUGGACCGGCAUUUGGCCACCUCCGCCUCGCCCUCGCUCUGCAACGCACGGCAGCGCCAGGCAGCCGCUGCCGCAGCCGCAGCCGGCAGGAUGGGUAGGAACCGGCUGGAUGGAGAAGAAAGGAUUUGGCGGGGCAGGGAAAGCAAACCCCGUUUCCAGGAAGGAGGAGGGAUUCGAGCGAGGCGUGGGCUGGCAGCGCCGCUCGCUGGAUAUAGGAGGCGGCGCGGAACGGAAGCGAUUCUUGGCCUCGGGUCGCGUGCAGGGGGCGUGGUGGACUGGUGGUGGUGGC
rnacentral:misc_RNA from 1 species